rnacentral:lncRNA from 1 species
AUCAGAUCAAAAUUAGAUAAUGAGAUGACAAUGGGAGUUCUACAUCAAUGAUCCAAAUCGUUGGAUGUGAGCUACCAUCUCAAAAAUGCUUGCACAUCUAAAAUUAUAUAAUUUGAAGAUCUCUAGCCUAUGCAUCAAGUGACUAAAAUAUAUACCUAAUUCAAUUUUAUUUAGGUUAUUCAACUUUUGACUACUUGAUGCAUAGGUUAAGAGUUUUCAAAUCAUAUAAUUUUUUGUGUGCAAGUAGUUUUGAAGUAUCAGAUCAUCUUCAAUGAUUUGGAUCGUCGAUAUAGAACUUCUAUUAUAGAAUUUUAAUAUGAUC